GCGCCCGUAGCUCAGUCGGUAGAGCGGUGGAACGGUGAUCCACAGUCCCGGGUUCAAGCCACGGCGGCCGCU